rnacentral:lncRNA from 1 species
UACUAGAAAUUAUAUUUUUUUAUUUGUAUUAGUAUAUUGAAAUAUGUGUUUUUUUAUCAAUUAGUGUAUGUGUAUGUAUAUGUAUAUGCAUGUGUGUGUGUGUGUAAUGUUGCUAUGGUCUAACAUCCUAGACUUUAUUAAAAUCCAGAAAAGUUAUUAAAUCAUGUGGUUUAAUAAUAUAAUGUCAUUACACUAUUAACCAUGUGAUUUAAUAACUUUCAUAAUCAUUACACUACUAAACCGCACAGUUUAAUAGUUUUUCCAAACUUUAAUAAAUUCAAGAUAUAUAUGUGUGUGUGUGUAUUAUAUAUAUACUAGUUCAAUCUAAUGGCUAAGGUAAUUGCUUAUAUGACAUUAGCACUUUAUUAAGUAUAUAACUCAAAAAACAAAAAGGCUGAGGUGGCAUAUUAAAAUUAAAAAAAGAAAAAGAUAGAAUCCUAACUCUUGAUGUACUUCCUUUCUUAAUGGGAUUAUAUCAGCAAAAACUUUUGUUUCAACAACUUCCCACUAAAAGAAAAUGAUAAUAAACGACUGACACUUUAUGAUAAAAAUUACUAUAUCAUAAAAGUAUGAUAGAGUUGUGGUAAAAUUAUUUUCUAUUAAAUGAUUAAUGAUGUACUUGUAAUAUAAUUUGUGUCUAUCAAGAAUUUAUGAAAGGAUAGUGAUAGAAAUAUACUCUAUCAAAGACUUUGUGAUAAAAUUUUAAUAUUGACCAUGUUUGAUCAAAUUUUAAAUUAAUAUUUUAUUAAAAGAAAAGUAAAAUGGCCCAUUUUAGACUGACAAAUAAUUUUAAAAAAAUAGAUGUAAAUGAUAAAAUCAAAAAAGGUUGAUUAAACUACAACCUAAAAUUUUCUUAAAUCUUCGAACUCACUUAUGGUGCGUUUAUUAAAUUAGAAUCGAAUGGGCUGAAAUCCAAAUAGGCGGGAAUGAGAAUGGGCUUGAAUGAGGAUGAAUAAUAGAAAUUAGAAUAAGUUGUUUAUUUGAACUGUAGGAAUUGAAAUCCGAAUGAGUUGGAUUGCCAUUAAUGUGUUUACUUUAUCUUAGAAUCGGAAUUGGAAUGAGUUACAUUUUAACAAAUUACUUAAAUGUACUUAAUGAAUGAUUGUCAUAAUUAUUAUUUUGU